CUAAGAAUAUUCCGCAAUGGACGGAAGUCUGACGGAGCGACGCCGCGUGGAUGACGAAGGCCGAAAGGUUGUAAAGUUCUUUUGCUGGGGAAGAAUAACCGCAGGAGGGAAUGCCUGUGGGAUGACAAGAACCGGCGAAUAAGCCCCGGCCAACUACGUGCCAGCAGCCGCGGUAACACGUAGGGGGCGAGCGUUGUUCGGAAUUACUGGGCGUAAAGGGCAUGUAGGCGGCUUGGAAAGCCUGGCGUGAAAGUCUGCAGCUUAACUGCAGGGGUGCGCUGGGGACUGCUGAGCUUGAGUGACGGAGAGGGAGCUGGAAUUCCUGGUGUAGGGGUGAAAUCUGUAGAUAUCAGGAAGAACACCGAUGGCGAAGGCAAGCUCCUGGCCGAUGACUGACGCUGAGGUGCGAAAGUGUGGGGAUCAAACAGGAUUAGAUACCCUGGUAGUCCACACAGUCAACGAUGUGCACUAGGUGCUGGGGCGGUAGCUUCGGUGCCGGAGCGAACGUGGUAAGUGCACCGCCUGGGGAGUAUGCUCGCAAGGGUGAAACUCAAUGAAUUGAC
rnacentral:rRNA from 1 species